rnacentral:rRNA from 1 species
CCUACGGGUGGCAGCAGUAGGGAAUAUUGCUCAAUGGGGGAAACCCUGAAGCAGCAACGCCGCGUGGAGGAUGAAGGUUUUCGGAUUGUAAACUCCUUUUGUUAGAGAAGAUAAUGACGGUAUCUAACGAAUAAGCACCGGCUAACUCCGUGCCAGCAGCCGCGGUAAUACGGAGGGUGCAAGCGUUACUCGGAAUCACUGGGCGUAAAGAGCGCGUAGACGGGUGAGCAAGUCAGAUGUGAAAUCCUAUGGCUUAACCAGAGAACUGCAUUUGAUAAUGUUAUUCUAGAGUAUGGGAGAGGUAAGUGGAAUUCCAGGUGUAGGGGUAGAAUGCGUAGAGAUCAGGAGGAAUA